GCAAACUUGGUCAUUUAGAGGAAGUAAAAGUCGUAACAAGGUCUCCGUAGGUGAACCUGCGGAGGGAUCAUUACAGAGUUCCUGCCCUUGCGGGUAGAUCUCCCACCCUAUGUUAUCGCUACCUUUGUUGCUUUGGUGGGCCGCCCGGCCUUGGUCAGGCUACCGGCUCCGGCUGGUAAGCGCCCGCCAGAGGAUCUCCAAAACUCUGCAUGUUAGUGUCGUCUGAGUACUAUAAUAAUAGUUUUAAAACUUUCAACAACGGAUCUCUUGGUUCUGGCAUCGAUGAAGAACGCAGC
rnacentral:misc_RNA from 1 species